UACGGGGGGAGCAAGCGUUGUUCGGAUUUACUGGGCGUAAAGGGCGCGUAGGCGGCGCCGCAAGUCGGUUGUGAAAUCUCCGGGCUUAACCCGGAAAGGUCAACCGAUACUGCGGGGCUAGAGUGCAGAAGGGGCAACUGGAAUUCUCGGUGUAGCGGUGAAAUGCGUAGAUAUCGAGAGGAACACCUGCGGCGAAGGCGGGUUGCUGGGCUGACACUGACGCUGAGGCGCGAAAGCUAGGGGAGCGAACGGG
rnacentral:rRNA from 1 species